GGCCGGGUCCCAUGCAGUGGGCCCAGCAGGCAACGGGUCAGGCUGGAAACAGAGCAGCCCAUCUUCUUGGUUCAGGUGCCGUGGAUCAACCUGGCCGUC
rnacentral:SRP_RNA from 1 species